GAAAAAACUGGAUGCGGGCGGAACAUUCUUUUCUAGUCUUUAAGUUAUAACCUAAGUUUGGCUCUCAUCGUGAUUUAGAAUUUUUUAAAAAUGGCUACUUUUAAUCUUAGCAAACUUCUGGCUAAUGAUUUUCCUCCAAGGCAUAUUUUCACGAGUAAAAAGGUAUCUGAAUGUGCUACAUUUUUGCAGUCCAAGUUUUUAUCACUUUAUGCUGAUUGCACUGUGAAUUUCAACAUUUUCAAAAGUCUUGCUUUUAAUUUAAUAAAAAAAAUUUAAUGAGUGUGGAAAAAGAAAAAAGUUCUUUCUUACUAAAUAUAAACAUUUUUUGGAUCAAAAUCAACAAUGCAAAUAUCUCUUAUUAGAAAAAGAUUCUGAAAAAGAGAUUAGAACACAUGAGGAAGAACUGCUAUUAAUUAGGGCUAUUUUAUAUGGUUCAAAUUUGUCAUUGCAAGCUCUUUGUAAUUUGAAACUUACAGAUAGAACAUGGACUGAAUUUAAAAAUAUAGUGACUCAUAAUCGUCAUCUUCUUCCUCCAGGUUUAACCAAGUUGAAGCAAUACAAAAAAUUGACAUAUCCAGAACAGGUUGAAUAUUCUGAAACCGAAGUAAAAUGUAGUCUUUUCCAUAUGAUAAAGCAUUCAGUUUCUAGAGUGUUUGAAUAUCUUUUGGAUUAUGAAAGUAACUGCAUAAUGAGUUUAUCACAAGAAGAGCGUGAUAAUGUACAAAUUAUUUGCAAAGUAGAGGUGAUGGUCAAAGUGAUCAAUCUGAGUUUCAAAAUUCAGCAACUAUGAAAAGAGGUGUAGAUGAUCGCUCUGUGUAUAGUAUAGUGUUUGUACUACUGGAGAUCCGAAGUGGAGAAAAAAUAAUAUGGAAAAAUUUAAUUCCAAAUAGUCCGGAUGCAACCCAUCAUCUUUUUUGUUUUGCAAAAGAGACUGCUAGUUUUAUUCAGGAAAAACUUGAACAUUUAAAAAAUGAAAUUUUUUUAUUGAAAAAUAUUGAAUUUAAACUUGGUGAAAGUACUUUUGUAGUAAAGUCUAGUUUGUCAACUAUUUAUACCACAAUGAAUGAUGGCAAAACACUAAACGCUGUUGUAUCAAAUAUGCUUAAAAAAAAAAUUUCAUCUCAGUCCUGCCAUGUAUGCCUUGCAAAUUCUAAGGAGUUUAACUUGAAAACUAUUUGGAAAAAAAAUAUUAAUUUAAACAAGCAUGUUUUGAAACUUGGAAUUUGCAGUCUUCAUCUAUGGAUGCGCUGUAUGGAGUGGAUUUUCAAUACUGCUUGUAAACUGCCAGCUGUUAAGCAAGGAAGAAAUAUUCUAUCGCAAAAGAGUAAAGAAUUUAUUGAAAACAAAAAAAAAUUCCAGCAUUUAUUCAAGAUACAACUGAAUAUAAGGGUUUCUUUUGUCAGGAAAGGAUGUGGAAUAACCAAUACUGGAAAUGUUGCUCGCAAAUUUUUUAAUAACCCGAUUGUGACAGGGAGAAUUUUAAACUUGGAUAUCAGAAUGAUUAGGUUGUUUCGAGAUUUACUCAUUGAUAUAAACAGAACAACUAAAAGACCGGAUAUAAAGGUUUUCAAACAGAAAUCUGAACAUCUAUUUGCACUCAUAACUAAUUAUAAAUUUUAAAAAAAACCAUACCUAUGUCACAAUCUGUGCAUAGAGUGAUAGUUCACGGUACUUCUUUUAUAAGGUAUUUCAAGUAUCCGAUAAGUUCUUUGUCUGAGAGUGCUAUUGAAGCCAGAAAUAAGGAAAACAAAACUGCUCGAAUUGGUCAUGCUCGUUUAACCUCUUUUGCAGAAAACACUAGGGAUACAGCUAAUUAUUUGUUUAUGACAUCUGAUAUGUACCUCUUUUGCAAAAAAAACAAAAUGAAUAAAAAAAGAGUGAAAACAAAAUAGUUUAAGAAAGCAAAGUGACAGUUCUUCUGAUAACUGCUUAAAAUAAAGGAAGUAAGACCAUGAAGAACCAUACUGAUGAGCUAUUCUGCGUUGAAUUUUUAAAAAACGGCUAUUUUCAUAGCCACAAGUUAUUAAAAACAUCUAUUAGAAUAGAACGUUGAGAAACUGUGAAAGAAUGCAAAGAGCCAAGUAUCAUAUGAUAGCAGAGUUGUUUAUUAUAUUUAAUGAUAUUGUUUAUUUUGAAAUAGUGUUCAUAUACAUAGUUUGUAAAAUUCUAUAAAAUAUAGGCGCCUACUUUUUUUUGAAUAAAAUCAUCCGGACUUGUGUAGUUUUCCGGACAAAUCUAGAAUUAGUCCGGACUAACCGAAAAAAAAAUACAAUAAAUUGUUUUUUAAUGAAAACCAAAUAUGAUUCUUUUAAAUAUAGAAA
rnacentral:lncRNA from 1 species